GAUGAACGCUGGCGGCGUGCCUAAUACAUGCAAGUCGAGCGAACAGACGAGGAGCUUGCUCCUCUGACGUUAGCGGCGGACGGGUGAGUAACACGUGGAUAACCUACCUAUAAGCCUGGGAUAACUUCGGGAAACGGUAGCUAAUACCGCAUAAUAUUAUAAAUCGCAUGGUUCAAUAGUAAAGGAUGCUUUUGCUGCCAUUCAAGAUGGAACCCCCGUCGAUUUGGUAGUUGGUGAAGGUAAGGGCUAACAAAGGCAACAAUGCGAACCCGACCUGGAAGGGUGAUCGGCAACACUGGAACGGAGACACGGUCCAGACCCCUACGGGAGGAGGCAGAAGGGAAUCUUGCGAAAGGGGCGAAAGCUGGACGGGGCAAGGCCGCGUGAGUGAUGAAGGUCUUCGGAUCGUAAAACUCUGUUAUUAGGGAAGAACAAUUGUGUAAGGAACUAUGCACGUCUUGACGGUACCUAAUCAGAAAGCCACGGCUAACUACGUG
rnacentral:rRNA from 1 species